AGCGGCGGACGGGUGAGUAACGCGUGGGUAACCUGCCUCAUACAGGGGGAUAACAGUUGGAAACGGCUGCUAAUACCGCAUAAGCGCACAGUACCGCAUGGUACGGUGUGAAAAACUCCGGUGGUAUGAGAUGGACCCGCGUCUGAUUAGCUAGUUGGUGGGGUAACGGCCUACCAAGGCGACGAUCAGUAGCCGACCUGAGAGGGUGACCGGCCACAUUGGGACUGAGACACGGCCCAA
rnacentral:rRNA from 1 species